rnacentral:rRNA from 1 species
AACGAACGCUGGCGGCAGGCUUAACACAUGCCAGUCGAGCGCAUCCUUCGGGGUGAGCGGCAGACGGGUGAGUAACGCGUGGGAAUCUACCUUUUGCUACGGAAUAGCUCCGGGAAACUGGAAUUAAUACCGUAUGUGCCCUUAGGGGGAAAGAUUUAUCGGCAAGAGAUGAGCCCGCGUUGGAUUAGCUAGUUGGUGGGGUAAAGGCCUACCAAGGCGACGAUCCAUAGCUGGUCUGAGAGGAUGAUCAGCCACAUUGGGACUGAGACACGGCCCAAACUCCUACGGGAGGCAGCAGUGGGGAAUAUUGGACAAUGGGCGCAAGCCUGAUCCAGCCAUGCCGCGUGAGUGAUGAAGGCCUUAGGGUUGUAAAGCUCUUUCACCGGAGAAGAUAAUGACGGUAUCCGGAGAAGAAGCCCCGGCUAACUUCGUG